rnacentral:misc_RNA from 1 species
GAUGAAGAACGUAGCGAAAUGCGAUAAGUAAUGUGAAUUGCAGAAUUCAGUGAAUCAUCGAAUCUUUGAACGCACCUUGCGCCCCCUGGUAUUCCGGGGGGCAUGCCUGUCCGAGCGUCAUUGCUGCCCUCAAGCACGGCUUGUGUGUUGGGCCUCCGUCCUCCUCCCGGGGGACGGGCCCGAAAGGCAGCGGCGGCACCGCGUCCGGUCCUCGAGCGUAUGGGGCUUCGUCACCCGCUCUUGUAGGCCCGGCCGGCGCUUGCCGACACAUCAAUCUUUUUUCCAGGUUGACCUCGGAUCAGGUAGGGAUACCCGCUGAACUUAAGCAUAUCAAUAAGCGGAGGA